AUACGUAGGUGGCAAGCGUUGUCCGGAAUUAUUGGGCGUAAAGCGCAUGUAGGCGGUUUGGUAAGUCGGUCGUGAAAAUGCGGUGCUUAACGCCGUAUGGCGAUUGAAACUGCCGAACUUGAGUGCAGGAGGGGAAAGGGGAACUCCCAGUGGAGCGGUGAAAUGCGUGGAUAUUGGGAAGAACACCGGUGGCGAAGGCGCCUUUCUGGACUGUGUCUGACGCUCAGAUGCGAAAGCCAGGGUGGCGAACGGGAUUGGAUACCCCGGUAGUCCUGGCCGUAAACGAUGGGUACUAGGUGUGGGAGGUAUCGACUCCUUCCGUGCCGGAGUUAACACAAUAAGUACCCCGCCUGGGGAGUACGGCCGCAAGGCUUAAACUCAAAUGAAUUGACGGGG
rnacentral:rRNA from 1 species